CCUACGGGAGGCAGCAGUGGGGAAUAUUGGACAAUGGGGGGAACCCUGAUCCAGUGACGCCGCGUGAGUGAAGAAGUAUUUCGGUAUGUAAAGCUCUAUCAGCAGGGAAGAAAGAAAUGACGGUACCUGACUAAGAAGCCCCGGCUAACUACGUGCCAGCAGCCGCGGUAAUACGUAGGGGGCAAGCGUUAUCCGGAUUUACUGGGUGUAAAGGGAGCGUAGACGGCGAUGCAAGUCUGAAGUGAAAGGCGGGGGCCCAACCCCCGGACUGCUUUGGAAACUGUAUGGCUGGAGUGCAGGGGAGGUAAGUGGAAUUCCUAGUGUAGCGGUGAAAUGCGUAGAUAUUAGGAGGAACACCAGUGGCGAAGGCGGCUUACUGGACUGUAACUGACGUUGAGGCUCGAAAGCGUGGGGAGCAAACAGGAUUAGAUACCCCGGUAGUC
rnacentral:rRNA from 1 species